CCCUGUGUCUCAGAGGGCAAAGAACCUGCCUGCAAUGCAGGAGACCCAGAUUCAAUUCCUGGGUCAGGAA
rnacentral:tRNA from 1 species